UGGGUAAAAGCUUCCUUUUCAAGGUUUCCGGAAAGUAGUUAGCUGUUAUCUUCAUAACUGACGCCUUUAAGAAUUCAUGAGUGACAAAUUUCGUUCGUCCUCCAUGAUGGGGGAGGAGUGCAGCGAGAAUUUUCAUUUUUUCGGCAUGAUUUGUGGCCAAAACAGACGCUGAGUAUUUGUCUUCACCUCGCGUAAAAAAAGUCAGAAGGAGACAAGUUGCUGACAAUGGACGAUAAACAUGAAGAAGUCGAUGGCGGUGUUUCCUCGGAAGAAGAACAUGGCCGAUAUCCGCGCGCUGCAUCACUCGACAAAAUUGUUGACUUUUGUGCCGAAGAAUUCGCCUGUGCAAACGUACGAAACUCAGCCUUUUCAACAGAGCGCUUUCUUUCAAAUUGUGUUUUUAUGGUUCACAAAUGGUUCCUUUCCUCUGAGGAGUUGUUGACAAAGUUUAAACAACGGU